rnacentral:rRNA from 1 species
GCCAGACUCCUACGGGAGGCAGCAGUGAGGAAUAUUGGUCAAUGGGCGGGAGCCUGAACCAGCCAAGUCGCGUGAGGGAAGAAGGUACUGAGUAUUGUAAACCUCUUUUGCCAGGGGACAAAGGCGGCCACGGGUGGCCGUAAGAGGGUACCUGGAGAAAAAGCAUCGGCUAACUACGUGCCAGCAGCCGCGGUAAUACGUAGGGAGCAAGCGUUGUCCGGAAUUACUGGGUGUAAAGGGAGCGUAGGCGGGAUGGCAAGUAGAAUGUUAAAUCCAUCGGCUCAACCGGUGGCUGCGUUCUAAACUGCCGUUCUUGGGUGAAGUAGAGGCAGGCGGAAUUCCUAGUGUAGCGGUGAAAUGCGUAGAUAUUAGGAGGAACACCAGUGGCGAAGGCGGCCUGCUGGACGACAACUGACGGUGAGGCGCGAAAGCGUGGGGAGCAAACAGGAUUAGAUACCCUUGUACC